rnacentral:rRNA from 1 species
GACGAACGCUGGCGGCGUGCUUAACACAUGCAAGUCGAACGGAAAGGCCCUGCUUUUGUGGGGUGCUCGAGUGGCGAACGGGUGAGUAACACGUGAGUAACCUGCCCUUGACUUUGGGAUAACUUCAGGUAACUGGGGCUAAUACCGGAUAGGAGCUCCUGCUGCAUGGUGGGGGUUGGAUAGUUUCGGCGGUUGGGGAUGGACUCGCGGCUUAUCAGCUUGUUGGUGGGGUAGUGGCUUACCAAGGCUUAGACGGGUAGCCGGCCUGAGAGGGUGACCGGCCACAAUGGGACUGAGAUACGGCCCAGACUCCUACGGGAGGCAGUAGGGGGGAAUAUUGCACAAUGGGCGGAAGCCUGAGGCAGAAACGCCGCGUGCGGGAUGACGGCCUUCGGGGUGUAAACCGCUGUCGCCUGUGACGAAGCGUGAGUGACGGUAAUGGGUAAAGAAGCACCGGCUAACUACGUG